ACACACAGUUUCAACCAUCUUGAAGCAGGUUUCAGAUUCACUAACGACAGCCUUUCCUUCAGGGGUGCCACUAGUUUUAAGUGUACGACUUGUCUCAGUUGGAAAAAGAUGGAAAAUAAACUACUGACACUGUUGACUACUUGUAAACUUUAAAAGAAAUAAUUUAUGGUCAAGUUGUACAAGUUGUUGGAGGGGGAGGGGCACAGGAAGGUUCCCCUACCUUCUUUCUUCAUGCCAGCCCUGAAACAUUUGUUGAGCCUGCAGAAACGACACUGGUUCCUCUUAUCUUUAUCCACGAUGCACUGUCUGCUGAACCUGCACACGAUGAACAUACAGUGAUAUAAUUAACUGUACAGAACUGAUACAGUGAACUGCCACAUAACAUGACUGAAAAAUCAGUGAUCCAUAGUUCAGUUUGCUUAGUGUGUUAGCUGUAACUUCAGUAUGUUUUUGCUGUCUGUACCUGCAGGUGUAGACGUGGCUCUUGCGUAUGGAGCGUCUGAAGAAGCCUUUGCAGCCGUCACAGCUGGAGGCUCCAUAGUGCUUCCCUGUGGCUUUGUCUCCACAGAUGGCACAGUUACUGUUGACCCCAUCUGGACCGGGCAGGUUCGGCUCUGUUGGCAUGCUGUCUGAAACACGCAAAAACAUUCACAAAGGGAGGUAGAGGAAGAACCCCUGUAAUCACCCUGAUCGUAAAGCAAGGAGACAUCAUUUUCUUAAGGAAAAGCCUUACCAGAGCCAUCAAGUCGGAGAUGACCAGGACAAUGAGGAACAAGCUGGAAAAGAAAGAGAAGAAGCAAAAGAACUGAGUGCUGAGCAGGAGGUAUGUGGCCGUCAGAGAGAGGAAUAUGCUGAGAAGUCGGUGGAAGAGACGUGUAGAGCUCAGCAAUGGGACCACCAUUGAGGAUGCUGAGAAGCGAGACAGGAGAAGUGAGCUGGUUCUUAGAACUACAGGGAGCCCCGAUCUGUGGUGUGGUUACCUUGGCUUUUCCAAAAAGUCCGGAAAGAAAGGGCCAGAGAGAGAGGACAGCCAGGCCCACAGUCAGCAUGGCGCGAUGGAAGAAACUCACCACCUGGGGGCAGCAAAGGAAAAACGGUCAGCCCUGGUGCGUACACUUUGAACAAUCUGUAUUUGGUACUGUCUGUUGAGAUCAGCUAAAUUAAGCUGUAUCAGCAGGCUGAAGAAGAAAUUUGUCUUUAAAUGUACAUUAGGGAACAUUAAAGACACCCACCAGUAGCUCGAUCCCGAAUGCCACAAGCACAAAAUAGCCAAAACAUUUCCACAGUGGCAGAGAGGGAGCUGAACGAAUCAAAUCUGUUAGAGUCCCAGACCUAAAAUUAAUCAUUAGAGAGCUUAUUUUCCAGGGGAUAAAGAAGAAAAAAACAAGAAAGAAAACUGCAAAGCUAGUUUUUUUUUAAUCAAUUUACAAAGGUGAAACAUGAACACCACUUCAGAGGAUCUAAUUAACAGCUCACUGCAGCUGUUGCAGACAUAAAUGAACAAGUAUGUGUGAGGUAAAUUACAUCCAAUUAAAAACUGUGACAUUAAUUGAUUGUUGAUAUCUCCAGUAAUGUGUUUUGAUAUUUGCUGACAUCCUGUGCCUGUGUGUGGUGUUUGCUCCAUCACUCUCUGAGAACAGCACACAGGAAUUAUAUACGUUUGGUUCAUGACACUGUAAUUUAUGUGCGCAAAUGUGUUUCAUGUUUUCAGCCAUUCUGUAUUUUCUAAAAGAGUGUUACUCACUCUUUAAGGACAGAGUACCACACAGGGACAGGCAGCAGGCAGUAAAUAUAGUAGGUCACGGGGCUCCUUUGGAUAAGCAGGAAGACAGUGAUUACCAGUGUCACACACACACACAGCCUCGCCAGAGUGUGACUGGGAACCUGCACACACACAAAGGAGAAAUACUAAACAUGUAGCUUAACAAGACAUUCAAGUUUUGUAAACUCGUUUUAGUGGAAACAAUCUAGAGGCAAAUAAACCUGCACACACACAAGGAGAAAUACUAAACAUGUAGCUUAACAAGACAUUCAAGUUUUGUAAACUCGUUUUAGUGGAAACAAUCUAGAGGCAAACCAGGAUUGCAGUGAAUGCCCUGACCUGUUUGAGGAGACUUGGGUGUCUGUUGAGGCUGGCAUGAGUCUUCAGUAUGACUAGGACAACAUAGGAGGUCCAGCCUACAAAUCCCAGCACCACACUGCAGCCCAGGAAGAACCUGUCGUAGGUGUGGUAGUAGAUCAGGCCCUCCAGAGCAUCGGAUAUCAGAGACUGGCACAGAGAGAUCUGACAAGAGACAGAGGAGGGGGGUGAAAAUCAGUACUUUAGCAAAACUAAGUGUAUCAAAAUGGAAACGACACUUGGAUGGGAAGUAAUAAUUCAAACUCAAACAAGGCGGACAGUUUUUCUGUUGAGGAGUGGCUUCAUUUCUACUGCAACAUCUCUUGCACAACACUGGUGUCUACAUAGCUCACUGUGUAUGAACAGCAGCUCAGUGUAGUAGAAUAAAUCUAAAAUCUGACUUUAA